rnacentral:lncRNA from 1 species
AGCAAGAUUUUCUUAACACAUAGUGAACAAAAAGUCAAGGAAGAUGACCUCAGAAGACAAACAAAAGAACUGGAAAUGAAGAAGAAGCAAUUACAGAGUGAAAGAGAAAAAGUGGAGAGUCUGAUGAGGAAUCUCAACAAGAAGCAAGAAGAGCUUGAACGUGCAAAGGAAAUCAUGAGUGAAGAAAAAGAAGAGGUGAAACAGAUGAAGACUGACAUUGCCAAAGAACGAGAACUGUUGUUGAAGGAAAGGAGAAAUAUGGAAGAAGAGCGGUCUGAGAUGGAAAUGAGAGGAGACCAAGUCAUGGAUGAAAUGAAAUCACUAGAGAUUCUGAAAGUGAAACUUCAACAACUGAAGCAGCAUAUAAAAGCUAAAACGGACAGAUUACUACAAAAUGUUGACAACAGGUCCAUGCUGCAAACAGUGUUGGAAGAAAAACUUACAACUCAAGACAAACAGAAAGAAAACAUUUGCUGUUUCACUGAAAUGUUAGAUAGAGAAAAGGAAGGUGUGAGAAGUAUCCUUUCAGACAUGGUCACCAAGAGAGAAUGCACAGAAAAAGAAUGGAAGCAGCAGUUUGAACUGGACAAACGAGAUCUUGAUAAACGGAAAGAAGAUCUGAGACAAGACAGAGAAGAUCUGGAGAGAGAAAGUGAGGUGCUGAAUAAAGAGAAAAUGGAUUUGAAGCUGUUGAUGUCUGACAUGAAGAAACAAUUUGAAAUAUUGGAAGAAAAGAGACAAAAUGUAAAAGAAGAGAGAGACUCAAUGGAAAUCAUGAAGCUUGAACUGCUCAAUAAGAUGGAACAUGUAAAAAGGCUGUUAAAUGAGGCAAAUAAAGAAAAAGCCAAUAUUAAAGUUUGUAUCCUUCAGGUUCAAACGGAAAAAGAAAGACUUGAAGACAUUUUAAGCAAGAUUUUCUUAACACAUAGUGAACAAAAAGUCAAGGAAGAUGACCUCAGAAGACAAACAAAAGAACUGGAAAUGAAGAAGAAGCAAUUACAGAGUGAAAGAGAAAAAGUGGAGAGUCUGAUGAGGAAUCUCAACAAGAAGCAAGAAGAGCUUGAACGUGCAAAGGAAAUCAUGAGUGAAGAAAAAGAAGAGGUGAAACAGAUGAAGACUGACAUUGCCAAAGAACGAGAACUGUUGUUGAAGGAAAGGAGAAAUAUGGAAGAAGAGCGGUCUGAGAUGGAAAUGAGAGGAGACCAAGUCAUGGAUGAAAUGAAAUCACUAGAGAUUCUGAAAGUGAAACUUCAACAACUGAAGCAGCAUAUAAAAGCUAAAACGGACAGAUUACUACAAAAUGUUGACAACAGGUCCAUGCUGCAAACAGUGUUGGAAGAAAAACUUACAACUCAAGACAAACAGAAAGAAAACAUUUGCUAUUUCACUGAAAUGUUAGAGAGGAAAGGAAGGUGUGAGAAUAUCCUUUCAGACAUGAUCACCAAGAGAGAAUGCACAGAAAAAGAAUGGAAGCAGCAGUUUGAACUGGACAAACGAGAUCUUGAUAAACGGAAAGAAGAUCUGAGACAAGACAGAGAAGAUCUGGAGAGAGAAAGUGAGGUGCUGAAUAAAGAGAAAAUGGAUUUGAAGCUGUUGAUGUCUGACAUGAAGAAACAAUUUGAAAUAUUGGAAGAAAAGAGACAAAAUGUAAAAGAAGAGAGAGACUCAAUGGAAAUCAUAAAGCUUGAACUGCUCAAUAAGAUGGAACAUGUAAAAAGGCUGUUAAAUGAGGCAAAUGAAGAAAAGAGACAAAAUGUAAAAGAAGAGAGAGACUCAAUGGAAAUCAUGAAGCUUGAACUGCUCAAUAAGAUGGAACAUGUAAAAAGGCUGUUACAUGAGGCAAAUGAAGAAAAGAGACAAAAUGUAAAAGAAGAGAGAGACUCAAUGGAAAUCAUGAAGCUUGAACUGCUCAAUAAGAUGGAACAUGUAAAAAGGCUGUUAAAUGAGGCAAAUAAAGAAAAAGCCAAUAUUAAAGUUUGUAUCCUUCAGGUUCAAACGGAAAAAGAAAGACUUGAAGACAUUUUAAGCAAGAUUUUCUUAACACAUAGUGAACAAAAAGUCAAGGAAGAUGACCUCAGAAGACAAACAAAAGAACUGGAAAUGAAGAAGAAGCAAUUACAGAGUGAAAGAGAAAAAGUGGAGAGUCUGAUGAGGAAUCUCAACAAGAAGCAAGAAGAGCUUGAACGUGCAAAGGAAAUCAUGAGUGAAGAAAAGUAGAGGUGAAACAGAUGAAGACUGACAUUGCCAAAGAACGAGAACUGUUGUUGAAGGAAAGGAGAAAUAUGGAAGAAGAGCGGUCUGAGAUGGAAAUGAGAGGAGACCAAGUCAUGGAUGAAAUGAAAUCACUAGAGAUUCUGAAAGUGAAAUUUCAACAACUGAAGCAACAUAUAAAAGCUAAAACGGACAGAUUACUACAAAAUGUUGACAACAGGUCCAUGCUGCAAACAGUGUUGGAAGAAAAACUUACAACUCAAGACAAACAGAAAGAAAACAUUUGCUAUUUCACUGAAAUGUUGGAGAGGGAAAGGGAAGGUGUGAGAACUAUCCUUUCAGACAUGAUCACCAAGAGAGAAUGCACAGAAAAAGAAUGGAAGCAGCAGUUUGAACUGGACAAACGAGAUCUUGAUAAACUGAAAGAAGAUCUGAGACAAGACAGAGAAGAUCUGGAGAGAGAAAGUGAGGUGCUGAAU